CCUGAACCCGGCUUGCGUGGGAAAGGCUACUGAGAGUAUUCCUGGAGAGAGGAAGCCCAGGCGGGACCAGCUGUUGGAAGAUUGUGGGGGUGGCUACUUGCCACCAGGAUAUGCAGGGUCGGGGACCUAGGAAUCAGCCUUGAGCAUAAAGAUUCUGCCGCAAACAGGAAAGAAAAGAAAGUUCCCUAGGUAGAAAAGUGAGAGAUUUGGAAAGAUCAGCAACUCCACCCAUUCAAUGAUUGAAUAAAAGUUUCUUGCAGGCCAGAGACUACUUCCGGAGCAGGACAUUCGGCGAUGAGCUAGACCACAAAGCCUCCUCUCCCCAGGGGCCUCCCCUCCUGGUGCGGGGGUUCGCAGUAAUAAGCGAGGGGAAACUUGGAAGGCACUGUGGAAAGUAUUUGGAAAGCAGAUCCUCAUAUUUUGAAAGAAUGUUGUGUAAAUGAAGAGCAAACAGCCCGAAACUGAGUUCUGAAGGCUCACCUGUGAAAUAAAUGCAUGAAUUUUAGUGCAAACA
rnacentral:lncRNA from 1 species